rnacentral:lncRNA from 1 species
GGGCUGUUCUAGCAGUUGAGGUGUGGGAGAAGGGACUGUUCUGGUAGAGAAGGGUGGGGAGAAGGGACUGUUCUAAGCAGAUGAUGUGUGUGGGAGAAGGGACUGUUCUGGGCAGAGGAGGUGUGGGAGAAGGGACUGUUCUAGCAGAUGAGGUGUGGGAGAAGGGACUGUUCUGGCAGAUGAGGUGUGGGAGAAGGGACUGUUCUGGCAGAUAAGGUGUGGGAGACGGGACUGUUCUGGCGGAUGAGGUGUGGGAGAAGGGACUGUUCUGGCAGAGGAGGUGUGGAUUUCGUACUCUGCCUAGUGGCUCUUUUCUUGAUUGUCAUUCUUGAAGUUGCUAUGUUUUGUGCAUCACCAGGAGCAAAUCCCUAAAUGUAAUUAGAUGAAUAAAAUAAAAAGUUGCUCUGGAUAAGACCAUCUGCUAAGUGACGUAAAUGUAAAAUGUAAAAAUAAAGAU